rnacentral:rRNA from 1 species
UACGGGGGGGGGCAAGCGUUGUUCGGAAUUACUGGGCGUAAAGGCUCGUAGGCGGCCAACUAAGUCGGAUGUGAAAUCCCCAGGCUUAACCUGGGAACUGCAUCCGAUACUGGAUGGCUUGAAUCCGGGAGAGGGAUGCAGAAUUCCAGGUGUAGCGGUGAAAUGCGUAGAUAUGCGGAGGAACACCGAUGGCGAAGGCAAUCCCCUGGACCUGUACUGACGCUCAUGCACGAAAGCGUGGGGAGCAAACAGG